rnacentral:lncRNA from 1 species
CCCGGCCCCUGCCUGCACCUGGCCCCGGGACGGCUCCGCUCGCCCGCCCGGGCUCGCAGCCGCCGCUCGCAAAACGCUCACUCGCUGCUCUGCUGAAUCAUUUGUGGAACACACUGUGAACUGAAGGAAGGAAUUUACCUGGGCAUUGAAAACAUUUUCCUCAAGAAGGAAAACAGCAAGAAACACAAAGUUACUCCUCAGCUGGUGCAGUUUGUGCUUCUGAGAGAGGUGCCUUCCCUGCAUCUCCCCAUCCCCUGGCUGCGAGGAGCAUAAAUCACAUCCAUACAGGCUGCCCUGCUUGCCGACAGAGAAGGAGAG